AUAAGCGCCGGUAAGGUGAUAUGAACCGUUAUAACCGGCGAUACCCGAAUGGGGAAACCCAGUGUGAUUCGUCACACUAUCAUUAACUGAAUCCAUAGGUUAAUGAGGCGAACCGGGGGAACUGAAACAUCUAAGUACCCCGAGGAAAAGAAAUCAACCGAGAUUCCCCCAGUAGCGGCGAGCGAACGGGGAGGAGCCCAGAGCCUGAAUCAGCAUGUGUGUUAGUGGAAGCGUCUGGAAAGGCGCGCGAUACAGGGUGACAGCCCCGUACACAAAAGCGCAUGUGCUGUGAGCUCGAUGAGUAGGGCGGGACACGUGGUAUCCUGUCUGAAUAUGGGGGGACCAUCCUCCAAGGCUAAAUACUCCUGACUGACCGAUAGUGAACCAGUACCGUGAGGGAAAGGCGAAAAGAACCCCGGCGAGGGGAGUGAAAAAGAACCUGAAACCGUGUACGUACAAGCAGUGGGAGCACAGGUUUACCUGUGUGACUGCGUACCUUUUGUAUAAUGGGUCAGCGACUUAUAUUCUGUAGCAAGGUUAACCGAAUAGGGGAGCCGGAGGGAAACCGAGUCUUAAUUGGGC
rnacentral:rRNA from 1 species